GCUGGCGACUAGCGCGCAGGGGCCACACCCGUUCCCAUUCCGAACACGGUAGUUAAGCCCUGUAGCGUCGAUGGUACUACGACUGCGAGGUCGUGGGAGAGUAGACCGUCGUCAGCC
rnacentral:rRNA from 1 species